GUGGAGAGGGAAUGCUGGGCACACAGUUCCAGCUUCUUUACUUGGAAAAAUUGCCUUUGUGAACACGUUCAGCUGAUCUUAAUGUACAUCCAGCGCCGCAAGUCAUUUGGUGAAAACCUGGGUUUGAACCUUAGUUCAGCUAUUUACAGGCUGUGUGAGGCAUUUCCCUCAGAGUCUGCACCAUCAGGAAAAUGAAAAUAUAUACUCUCCAGCAUGGCCACGAGGGUUGUCUUUCGUUCACUGAAUAGGUAUCUGUUAAGCACCUGCUCCUCAUCAGGCACCGUGGUCUGUGCGAAAGAAGCACUGGAAAACGAGGUAGACUUGACCACGCCGCUCUUGACGGUUACCAGAGAAGAAAGACACUCAACGGAUGCAUUUGUGAGUCCUGCAAGAAGAAAGGCAGACUGCCAGGGGAGCGUGCACUGGGAUUUCCCUGAUCCUUCGGUGGGGGGGGAGGUCAAGACAGGGGCCCUCGGAAAGGUGACGCUAUUUGACGUGCAUACAAGGAGUCUGGGACGCGGGAGGUGGUCACCAACGUUAGUUCCUGCCCCCUCUGCCUGGGGUCAAAUCCCUUAGCAACACCUGCUGCGUUUGAGUGGGUUUGAGAAACUCCUCCUCCCCUCGAGGGAACUCAGCUGAAAAGACGUAGACUCUGGGAACUGCUUCCAGGGGCCUGGAAAUUGAUGAAGACGCCUACAAGGUAACGAGCACGAGAAUUUUCUGCGUGCCUCCCUGAGGAGAGCUGGGGCUGUGGGCUCGGAGCUGAACUCUCGAACCAGCUCGCCUGGCUGGAGGGGACCGGGGAGAAGCUGGCAGACUGCAGUGCUUUUCUCUGCAGCCCGAUCUCUGUGCCCAAGAGAAUGCCAUGAGGAUUACGAAAUCCUGAAGCAGGGCCAAUGGGACCCCCCAGGAUCGGCCAAACCCCGGGAAGACGGGCGGGCAGGACGGAUGCUGGGAAAUAGCCAUAAUGCCUACCACCAGGGGCUGAUUUCAAGCUGCAGGGGAUUUUAUCUCCAGUCCUACCAGUGAGUGUCCACAUCUUGACCAGCACAGAGGGCAGUUUGUCAUGUUGUUGGCCUGCGGACAUUGCCAGAAGAAUGCGGGUUGGCUCAGUACACUUUAAUGAGUAAGAAACAAACCAGCUUGCUCAAAUUUCCAGGAAUUUUUCUCCUGAACUGAGUUGCAAUGUGGUUUUUGCCA